GGAGUCUAGAACCUUGGAGACCCAUCCAGUGGGAGACUCAGCCGCUGCUGAAGCCUUCAUCCAUGGUCAAGGGGAGGUACUCUUAUUUUCCCUGGAUGAAGACAAAAGGACUGAGGUACAGAGACUGAAGUAACUCACUCAGGGUCACAAUGAGAGGCUCCAGUGUCCAUUGACCGCCUCCCUCUUCUGUGUCACUACAACGGAUCAAGUGCUGAGCCAAGAACUGGGGAUGCAAGAUAACUUUUGCUUAUUGGAAGAGUUUUCUUUUGUUCCUCAAACUCAGCUCCUCUCUGUGAUGAGGCGUCUGUGGUGAAGUGAAAGACUGCUGGCCUUAGCCCUGAGUCUGCAUGUGAAAAUGUCAUCACAAGGGGAAGUAGACCUGGCCCUCUUCCAGGGCAGGGAGGAAAACGCAGCCUGUGCUGCAUGGGAACUUCACGUGCUAAUUGGACAUCCCAGAAUCUCACUAAAUCUUUAUCAUAGCAAGCAUCAAUCACUCAAUCUUCAUCAUAGCGAGCAUCAGUCAUAGAGAAUGUCAAGUCUGCUGAACACCUACCCAACAGGAUGAAACAAUGUUUGUGAAAGUUCUUUGUAAACAAGACGUGUGCACCUUCCCUUUUCUUCCAGUCUCAAUUCUGCACACGGUUUUCCUGUUGUCUCAUUUGCCACAACAGCCUCCUGCACUUCACCGUCUAGCCAUCUGCCUCUUCCUGUCUGUUCUGCUAUAAGGUCCACGUUUCAUCUGCCUGAAUUCCUUAAAGGCCAUCCGGCUUAGCCACCUAUUUUGAGUGGUAAACAGACUUCUUCUUGAACCUUUGAGAGCUCCCUGUUUAGUAGAUUUCAUUUGAGUAACUAUGAGUACAGAAUUAAUUCACCCAGGUUAAGACCCCCUAUCCCCAUCAAAUGAAAAUCACACAUGACAAAGGAAGCUAGACCUUAUCCUCUUGCAGGGCAGGGAGGAAAAUGCACCAUCUGCUGCAUGGAAACCUCAUGUGAAAAUCAGGUGUCCCAGGAUCUCACUCGAUCUUUCUGGCAAGGAUCUAGCCAUAGAGAAUGUCAAAUAUGAAUGACCCAUGUGGAAGAUUUGUCGGUAUCUGUGUCAGAAGGCCUUGCCUUAUGGACAUCAAGGACAAGGCCCAUCAGCAUCCUUGCAGGCUGUUCAGCUCGUCAUCCACAGACAGAGAUCUUGCUCACAAGCUGCAGAUGGAUUUUAUGCCUCCACACGAAGGUCCUUCACAUCUGGUCUUGAUAUGAUUUGUCCCCAAAAGAACUCCACUUGCCCUUCCCAGCAUGAGGCCAAAUCAGGUCAUCAGUGGCUAUAGCCUGGCUAAAGGCUAUUCUACAUGGUAGUAAUGGCUUAUUGUGUGUGCUAUUAGGAGUGAUGUCAUGCCCAGGGUUUGAGGAAUAACGCUCCUGCAAGAUGGCCAUGUGAUUAAACGGGUAAUAAGCUGACCUCUGUGAAGCUGGCUGUGUAGAUUGGCUUUCAAGAUCAUUUUGCAAAGCCCGUUUUCAUGUGCUGUCAGUCGUGGAUGGAUUUUGAUAACUAGCAUUGAUUUGCCAUGUUUAUGAAGUGCAGUUUCACAGGGUAAACUGUGUAAUUGCACCUGGAAUGGCAAUAUAAAUAACGUCCUUAUCUAUGGUAUUGACUGCCCAGGAUUCGCUGAAUAUAUAUAGCAUACCUCCAAACAGAGCCAAUAGCUGUUGACUCAAUUUUUACUAGGCUUAGCUCUCAAAUUUCAGGUGUCUUAAUAAGGAUUGGGUGGCGAAUGAUCAACUUUUACAUCUGUUUCUAAUUUCCAUGCUUCCUUUUCCAGGAGGAGAAAUUUAACAAGCAAUUUUCUUCAACAGGGGAAUAGUUCAUCUUGGUUCAAGUAAUCCCUCUGGUGCUGCAAAGGACAAUGGCUUUCUUUAGGGCCAUCAGAUUCCUUUCGCUCCUGUGCCCAGGGACAUAUCACUCCCAGGGUCAACUGUCCAUUUGCUCAUGGACAUCUGGGAUGAGUCACGUGGUAUAUUUUCCCAAAGUGAGGAAGGAAGAAAAGAAAGCAUCUUGAAUCUGUUAGAAAGACAGUCUCUUUGAAGCCUCAUGUCAUGGGAAUAUGGUUUAUGUUGAAUGUGUUCUAGAGUAUACCCAACAUCCUGUAAAUCAAAACACCAAAGUGCAAGCUGUGACCAGAAUGGGUAAAACACCUCCAGUGGACAAAUCCUUAGAGGUAGAUGAGGAUGAGUAGGGGAUUCUAACUGCUCUUGCUUGCUGGGGGUACUCCAUUCUAAGAAUUUUAAACCUCUAUGGCACGAAUGCAGUUAAUAGACUGUUGACAUGAAAAUUACAUGAGAUAGCACAGUUCUGUCUGUGAGAACAAGGGUGGUAAGAAAUGACAUUAAGGCAG
rnacentral:lncRNA from 1 species